UACGAAGGGGGCUAGCGUUGUUCGGAAUUACUGGGCGUAAAGCGCACGUAGGCGGAUACUUAAGUCAGGGGUGAAAUCCCGGGGCUCAACCCCGGAACUGCCUUUGAUACUGGGGAUCUCGAGUCCGGGAGAGGUGAGUGGAACUGCGAGUGUAGAGGUGAAAUUCGUAGAUAUUCGCAAGAACACCAGUGGCGAAGGCGGCUCACUGGCCCGGUACUGACGCUGAGGUGCGAAAGCGUGGGGAGCAAACAGG
rnacentral:rRNA from 1 species